rnacentral:tRNA from 1 species
GGAGUAUAGCUCAGCGGUUUAGAGCAUCUGCCUUACACGCAGAGGGUCACAGGUCCGAAUCCUGUUACUCCC